rnacentral:rRNA from 1 species
CAUUAUUGAAUAAACAUGGGAUAAGGUUGCUGCUGGCUCUUGGGGGCAUGUGCACGCCUAUUCCAUUUUAUUUAACCACCCGUGCACUCUAUGUAGAUCUGAAACACUUUCGAGUACAACUCGGUCAAAGGGAUUGCCGCGUAUCUCCCGGCUUUUCCUUAUUCUAUUUCAGGUCUAUGUUUCUAUAUACUCCAUAUAAAGUUUGAGAUUGCAAUUGUUAGGCAUGUUUUUGUGCCCUAUAAAUAAUUAUACAACUUUCAACAACGGAUCUCUUGGCUCUCGCAUCGAUGAAGAACGCAGCGAAAUGCGAUAAGUAAUGUGAAUUGCAGAAUUCAGUGAAUCAUCGAAUCUUUGAACGCACCUUGCGCUCCUUGGUAUUCCGAGGAGCAUGCCUGUUUGAGUGCCGUGAAAUUCUCAACCUUUCAAGCUUUUGAUUAAGCUUUUGAAGGGCUUGGAUUUGGGAGUCUUGCUGGCUUUAGCGAAUCAGCUCUCCUUAAAUAUAUUAGCAAGAUAAUCGCUGAAUCAUCUUUGAUAUGAUAAUUAUCUAUAUCAUCGAUGAAACAGUGCCUCCGUUCACGGAAGGAUCUGGCUUCUAACAGUCUCUUGAGACAAUUCUUUGACACAUUUGACCUCAAAUCAGGUAGGACUACCCGCUGAACUUAA